rnacentral:rRNA from 1 species
GAUGAACGCUGGCGGCGUGCCUAACACAUGCAAGUCGAGCGAACAGACGAGGAGCUUGCUCCUCUGACGUUAGCGGCGGACGGGUGAGUAACACGUGGAUAACCUACCUAUAAGACUGGGAUAACUUCGGGAAACCGGAGCUAAUACCGGAUAAUAUAUUGAACCGUAUGGUUCAAUAGUGAAAGACGGCUUUGCUGUCACUUAUAGAUGGAUCCGCGCCGCAUUAGCUAGUUGGUAGGGUAACGGCUUACCAAGGCAACGAUGCGUAGCCGACCUGAGAGGGUGAUGGGCCACAGUGGAACUGAGAGACGGACCGGACUCCUACGGGAGGCAGCACUGGGGAAUCUUCCGCAAUGGGCGGAAGCGUGAAAGAGCAACGCCGCGUGGGUGGUGAGAGGCUUCGGAGCGUAAAGCGCUGUUAUUAGGGAAGAACAGAUGUGUAAGUAACUAUGCACGUCUUGACGGUACCUAAGCAGAAAGCCACGGCUAACUACGUG